rnacentral:rRNA from 1 species
AUUGAACGCUGGCGGCAUGCCUUACACAUGCAAGUCGAACGGUAACGGGCCUUCGGUUGCCGCCUUGUUGCGAACGGGCGGGUGAUACAUCGGAACGUGCCCGACCGUGUGGGGUAACGGGGCGACAGCUUUGCUCAUACCCCAUACCCUCUUCGCAUGACAGCAGCGGAGCGCAAGGCCUUCCGCGCUCUUGGCGGCCGAUGGCCGAUUAGGUAGUUGGUGGGAUAAAAGCUUACCAAGCCGACGAUCUGUAGCUGGUCUGAGAGGAUGAUCAGCCACACUGGAACUGAGACACGGUCCAGACUCCUACGGGAGGCAGCAGUGGGGAAUAUUGGACAAUGGGCGCAAGCCUGAUCCAGCCAUGCCGCGUGCAGGAUGAAGGCCUUCGGGUUGUAAAGUGCUUUUGGACGGAACGAAAAGACUUAAGUUAAUACAGGAGGGUAAUGACGGUACCGGAAGAAGAAGCACCGGCUAACUACGUG